CGUGCCGGUUCGAUCGGGAUACUCAUCAAAUUACAUUGAAAACUGAGCUGACUUCUCCUGUCGAUGGCGGGCCACAAUAAAAGCCGCAAGGCCGGUGGAUUACAAAGACGGAGAGCACUCGAAUCUUUUAACAAAGGAGUUUUCAUCACAUCACCGGGCGUCC
rnacentral:sRNA from 1 species